UACGUAAGAUGCAAGCGUUGUCCGGAAUUAUUGGGCGUAAAGCGAACGUAGGCGGUUUCUUAAGUUUGGUUUUAAAGACCGGGGCUCAACCCCGGGAAUGGACUGAAAACUGGGAGACUGGAGGACGUCAGAGGAAAGUGGAAUUCCGAGUGUAGCGGUGAAAUGCGUAGAUAUUCGGAGGAACACCAGUGGCGAAAGCGACUUUCUGGGGCGUUCCUGACGCUGAGGUUCGAAAGCUCGGGGAGCAAACAGG
rnacentral:rRNA from 1 species